AGGACGAACGCUGGCGGCGUGCUUAACACAUGCAAGUCGAACGGAAAGGCCCGCUUGCGGGUACUCGAGUGGCGAACGGGUGAGUAACACGUGGGCAACCUGCCCUCAGCUCUGGGAUAACUCCGGGAAACCGGUGCUAAUACUGGAUAUCAACUUUGCCUCGCAUGGGGUGUUGUUGAAAGUUUUUUCGGCUGGGGAUGGGCCCGCGGCCUAUCAGCUUGUUGGUGGGGUGAUGGCCUACCGAAGGCGACGACGGGUA
rnacentral:rRNA from 1 species